rnacentral:lncRNA from 1 species
UAAAUAAGCUAGGCAUAAAACAAAAUGGACUAAAAUCAAAAUCUAGCUAUAUCUAACGCUCACUCCAUCCCAACCCUGCCCUGCGGAUCAGUCUCAAAACCUGGAUAAGCAACCAUACACCACAUUAGUCGGAUUAAGCAUACAAUACCAAUAAAUAAUUGAAUACAAAAAUUAAUUUAAGCGACUGGUUUUUAAUUUGCAAAAUUUUAGAAAACAAGAAUUUAUCAAAACUUAAAAUUCAGAUCGGAUCGAAACUAUAAAUUUAUAAAGCAUUUCUCUUUAAGCAAAUAACGAAAUAUAUAUUAAGUCUCCGGCACCUAACUAUAUCAUAUGAUCUGUUGGCGAGAUCCAAGACAUCCAAAGGCGCAAACAGAAUAGAGGCGCGGAUAGGUGCAGCCACCCGAAGGCGCAAUAUAAAGACGAAACUUGCUUAUAUAACAAAAUACAUGUCGACAUGGCCAACAUUAGCAUAGCAGAAAAUCAGGAGACAUUAUAAUUCAAAAUUAUCCGAUCACUAACUUACAGAACAGAUAAUCAAAUUUCAAAAUUCUUUUGUUAAAAGAACCUUUCAAUCACAGUUGAGACUCAGUUUACAGAAAUAUUUAAUAUACACUUAAUUCUUAAUUUUAAAAUCUACAAAAUAAAUAUUUUCACACAAUCAAAUAUUUUCCUAAAUUAUUUAGCGAAAAAUUAACGGGUGUCCGGUCGCUUACCUCAAAAGCGGCUUCUAAGCUAAGAAGCUAUCCAGUCGAAAAUUGUACGAAAAUCAAUCGUCAGAAUCUAAAAUAGAGACAUACGAUUUUCUAUGGAAUGUUACAGCAUCAAUUUAAAACCAAGCUUAUAAGCUUUAGGCUCAUAACAUAUAAAAAUAUAGAGAAUAGUAGAUAAAGCUAUUACACGAACAGCACACGUCUGGUUCAAAUUUCAUCCCUCAACUGACGGUAAAAAAUUUCAAAUUCCAUCACGAAGGAUAGACAUAAACUUAGGGGAAAACUUCAAAAACCCCUAUGUAGUUUCGUAGUUUCUCACUUUGACCCCCUGUGAUUUAAAAUGUAUUAAUUUGUCCCCCUAUGGUUUCUUUUUUCUCUUUUUCUUAUCAAUUUCAUUAUUUUUUUUUUCUUAAAUCAGUGAUAAAGAUAAAAUUAAAGGGUACUAAAGUGAAUAUUUGAUAAAUCUAGAUGGGUAUCUGAAGUUUUUGUAUAUAAUUUAAUAAAAUAUUAACGAAAAAGCUACCGAAAAGAUAAAAACCAAACCACAGGGGGACAAAUUAAAAUAUUCUAAACCAUAGGGGGGCAAAGUGAGAAACUAUGAAACCACGGGGGGCUUUUUGAAGUUUUUCC